AAGCAAUUCUCCUGCCUCAGCCUCCCAAGUAGCUGGGAUUACAGAUCAUGAACUGGCAGCCAUGUGGAAAGAAGACUAGACUGCGAAUCACUUAGGAUCCCACCCUCGGUUUAGUCUAGAAUACUCUGCGAAUCAGCUUUUUGGCCCUAGUGGAUGACAAGAACUGAGACAAAUCACCAAUGGGCACAAACUAGUAGGAAAGAGACAAAUGGAAGCAAAAUAGCAAAAUGGUGAAGAGGAGGGUUCUAGAGGCAGAGAGCCCUGCAGUCCUGAGUCCUGAGUCCACCGUUUAACAGAGUGACUUUGCUCAGCCUGUGGAUUAUAAUGAAACUUGCCUGUUAUAGGAUCCAGUUUUUUAGGUGGUAGCAACAUGCUCAAGGAAGAUGCAGCCCCUUCCUCCAGCCUGAGAGAAUAAAGCAUCAUUGGCUUAUGCCAACCAUGGCAAUCCCAUUCCCCUUUUCUCAUGAUUGAUUUGGGAAUGGGCAAGUGACCCAGUUCUAACCAAUGAGACGAAAGAAAAAGUCUAUUGGUCAGCUUAUCUCAGAAGAUUUUUGUUUCCUGCUAUAAAGAGAAACAGUAAGUUCCUUCCUGCCUGACUUAAAUGCAAUUGUGUGCAAACAUGUUACUUGGAGCUACAGCAACGAUUCUGUGACCAUGAGGCAAUAAGCCAAGGACAAAGGAUAGAAUAGUGAAAAGACAGAGUAUUGGAUUUUUUUUAUGAUAUCAUUGAACUGCUGGACCAAUGUGGAACCAUCUACUUUUAGUCUUUCAUGAUUUGUGAGAUGAUUAAACAUUUCUUUUUUUUAGCCAUUAUUUCUUUUCUGUUACUUGCAACUGAAGACAUCCUACAUAAUACAAACACUAUCCAACUUGGAUUGUAAUUUAUCUAUUUUCAGAUCUGUGUGUUCUGUCUUACUGAUUUUUGUAUUCUUAGCACUGAGUAUAAGGCUGCUACUUAGUAAGACUUCAAUAAAUGACUGUUUAAAAAGG
rnacentral:lncRNA from 1 species